CAUUUUUGAAAGAAAGAAACAAUUUGAUAUUUCCUAAUAUAAACAACCUACACUACCAUGGCCGGGAAAUUCCAAUACAAACUUGGUAUCAAUGAACUAAAAUCGAAAGAAUUUCGUUUAUGGCAAUCGCUCAUUGGUGAAUUCAUUGGAAAUUUAAUACUUAACUUCUUUGCCUGUGGUGCAUGUACACAAACUGAAGAUGGUACAUUUAAGGCUUUGGCAUUUGGUCUAGGAGUUUUCAUGGCAAUUACGAUCGUUGGUCAUUUAAGCGGUGGUCAUGUAAAUCCAGCGGUAACAAUUGGAAUGCUUAUUGCUGGACGCAUAAGUGCCCUACGUGCAGUGUUUUAUAUAAUCUUCCAAUGUUUGGGUGCAAUAGCCGGCACGGCAGCCGUUAAGACUCUAAUCGAUGAGAGUUACUAUAAUGGCUUGGGACACACUAAUUUGGCCAAGAACAUUACUGAACUCCAAGGACUUGGAAUUGAGUUCUUCUUAGGUUUGGUAUUGGUACUGACUGUAUUUGGAGCAUGUGAUGCCAAUAAACCUGAUUCUCGUUAUACUGCACCUCUGGCAAUUGGUAUGUCUGUAACUCUGGGUCACUUGGGCACCAUUGCCUACACCGGUUCCAGUAUGAACCCAGCACGUACUGUAGGCACUGCAUUUGCUGUUGACAAUUGGGAAUCACAUUGGGUCUAUUGGGUUGGACCAAUUUUGGGUGGCAUUGCUGCCGCUUUAGUUUACACUCAAGUAUUAGAGAAACCAGCCGAGCCAAAGGUUAGUGAAGUAUCGGAAAAAUACAGGACACAAGCCGAUGAACGUGAGCCACAAUUUGCCAUGAAAUACAUACAUCACGAGAAUCAAAUGUAGUUCGCAUUUUAAGAAAUUGUUCAAUGUUCAAAUUUUGCCCCCAAAAAAAGAUGAGAAAGUUGGAAAGUGGUCGUGACUACGCCUAAAAAAUCUAAUGCAUUUAUUACAAAAAUCAAACGAAAUUUGAUUCCGGAUUAUGGAAAUUUAGGAAAAAAGAAAACAUCAUUCAACUGCACUGCGUUUUGCCUGCAUAAGUCCACAUACCUAGAGAGUUUUUGGAGUGCAUCGAAUAUAGCAGCAUUAAAUGUAUUUUACUUUUAAGACGAUAAACUUUGAAAAGAAAUUAAUGUAUUUAUUUGAAAAAAAAUAUGUAUUACAUUUUGUUGUUCUUUUUUUCUUCCAUAUUUAAAGUAAGACAGUUGACAAUGUAUUUAUAAAUAUUAAUGUUUAUAUAAUAAGAUAUUCAUAUACCUAUUUUGUUAACUUAUAUAUUUAUGUAUGACUAUUUACAAAUUACAAACUAUUUAUGAACACUAAACAAAUGCAAUUAAAAUUAUAUCUUCCAUAAUGAAUUAUCGUUUAGAAACAAAACAUUGUCUACAUUACAGUAACAAAAACCAAAUAUACUCUAUUCUUAAAACGUAUAUGAAAGAAUAAAGUAGUGGUGAAAUUGUAACAAUUAAACUAAUAAAUAUUAAUUAAAAAAA